CCUACGGGGUGCAGCAGUGAGGAAUAUUGGUCAAUGGGCGCGAGCCUGAACCAGCCAAGUAGCGUGAAGGAUGACUGCCCUACGGGUUGUAAACUUCUUUUAUAAAGGAAUAAAGUGAGGCACGUGUGCCUUUUUGUAUGUACUUUAUGAAUAAGGAUCGGCUAACUCCGUGCCAGCAGCCGCGGUAAUACGGAGGAUGCGAGCGUUAUCCGGAUUUAUUGGGUUUAAAGGGUGCGUAGGCGGUCCGGAAAGUCAGCGGUAAAAGCCCGGGGCUCAACCCCGGCGAGCCGUUGAAACUGUCGGACUAGAGACGGCGAGAAGUACGCGGAAUGCGCGGUGUAGCGGUGAAAUGCAUAGAUAUCGCGCAGAACUCCGAUUGCGAAGGCAGCUUACUAAACUGCCACUGACAUUGAUGCUCGAAAGUGUGGGUAUCAAACAGGAUUAGAUACCCCUGUAGUC
rnacentral:rRNA from 1 species